ACUCCUACGGGAGGCAGCAGCUAAGAAUCUUCCGCAAUGGGGGAAACCCUGACGGAGCGACGCCGCGUGGACGAUGAAGGCCGUAAGGUUGUAAAGUCCUUUUGCAGGUGAAGAAUAAGCCGGGGAGUGGAAUGCCCUGGUGAUGACGUUAGCCUGCGAAUAAGCCCCGGCCAAUUACGUGCCAGCAGCCGCGGUAAUACGUAUGGGGCGAGCGUUGUUCGGAGUUAUUGGGCGUAAAGGGCGUGUAGGCGGCUCGAGAAGUCUGGUGUGAAAUCGCAGGGCUCAACCCUGCGGGUGCGCUGGAAACUGACGGGCUUGAGUCCCAGGGGGGAAGCUGGAAUUCCUGGUGUAGGAGUGAAAUCUGUAGAGAUCAGGAAGAACACCGGUGGCGAAGGCGAGCUUCUAUUCGAGGACUGACGCUGAGGCGCGAAAGCGUGGGGAGCAAACAGGAUUAGAUACCCUGGUAGUCCACGCUGUAAACGAUGUGCACUAGGCGUGGGGCACGUCGGUGCUCUGUGCCGAAGUCAACGCGAUAAGUGCACCGCCUGGGGAGUAUGCACGCAAGGGUGAAACUCAAAGGAAUUGACGG
rnacentral:rRNA from 1 species